GUCAGCUUGGCUGUGUGUCUGUCUGCUGUGUGUGGUGGUCUGUGGUCUGCAUCUGCCUAUGGAAGACCAGUGUGCCUGCGCCACUGCACCCCAGAGCUGUCACGUCACAUCCUGGGAACUGUCCACUUGGAUCUGAGGAGCAGCCUUGUGUAGGCUCCACUGCACUGUGAACCUGCCAUGGCAGAGACUCCUGGUGCCACUGUUCACAGACAUCCAAUGUAGAAGCCCUGGGGCUUCAGCUCAGGGCCUCUGGUGGCAUUCAUAAUGAACCUCACAAGAGAAAGCCUGGCCUGUGGUAUCAUGCUGACAGUAACCUAGGAGACAUCCUCAUAGACCCUGGGGUCUAGGUAGGAAAACCCCUCUGUUACUGGUCUGGGGCUGUCAGAGACAAGAGACUGGGGCCAGCAUCUCCCAGCAUGGCCUUCACUCAGGAUGGUGGCAUGUUAGUGCCUCUUCUGGUGAGCCCUCCUUUGCUCUCCUGCUGGAGCUGUCUUGUGGGCCUCUCCUCAGAGGGGCCUCUGUAUGACUGACUGUCAGCUGCAGUGAGGAGGAACCCCUGGUGACUGUGUUGUCCCCCACUGCCAAGUGCAUCUCCUCAAAAGGACUCCACACCUUCUAGAGAUCAGCAGCUGCAGACACAGGAGGCCUUGAACUCUGUGCCUCUGCUUCUAAGGCUGCUGUCCCUGCCCAGGUGGCUUUGAUGAGCUUCUCCUGCAUCUGCACUAACCUGCCGGUCUCUGUCAAGGUGGUGGUCUUUGGAGAUGAAUUCUCCGUUAUUUUACUACUUAUGAUAAAGCAUUUAUUUUUGACCAGGCCUGUGGCUUCCAGUAGCAAUAUGUUUCCCUGAUAUGCAAAUACUGGCUUUAUUUGCUCAAUUUUCUGAGUGCUUUGAAAUUGAGAUGAUUGUACGACUCACAGUCCUUUCCUGUCUUGCUCAAACUGUCCUUGCAGACUUAGGAUUUAACAAACAAGACUCCUUAGUGAGGGUGGUGUUUCCAAGGGAAGACAGAACAGCACCCAGGAGAUGGAAGGUUCCAGAAGGUUCUUCCUCAUGAGGCGCCUCUCUUGUUUCCCAGAGUCUAGGCUGCUCUGGGCUGGCCUCCUCAGUCUGGGCCUCUUGGGAGGGGAGGGACUGCCUUGUCAAUUCCACACAUAGCAUUUUAUCCAGGGGCCCAAUCAGGGCCUCACUUGCUGCAGAUGUGGAAAAAGUUUUGUUCUCUGUGUGGAGGGGUAAGGUCAUGUUUCCAUGUGGGUGUUUGUUUCCCUCCCUUCAUUUCUAAAGGGAGGGAGCAGCAGUUCCAUGGUGGAUCUGCUGGCUGAGUCUUCCAGCUGAAUGUGAUCAGUGUUGGGUGGGCCGGGUUCUGGAUAUGCAGGCGCCAUGUCUUGGAGGGAGGCAGGCACCUUCAUGGGCAGGGAUUGUCGUUUGCUCCUGUAUCAGUUAUUUCCUGUGACAUUCUCUAGUUGUGUAGAAGCUGAUGUGUCCCUCAUGUCUCCUCUACAUUGGUUUCUUCCUUUGUCUACUAGAGUAUCCAUUGCAAAAUCUCUUCCACUGUGUCUUGAGUAGCAUGGUUCCCCCAACUGACAUCCUGACUUCUAUGUAUUGCUGCCAGUGGAGGCAAGUCCUUUCCUUCCUUAGAAGUCAUUAGAAACAGGCUAGGGGUAGAAUAGGGCCCGGAGAAAUCAUCAAAGGUCUAGGUGACAUGUACUGACAUAAAUAACUGAAGCUUUUCUAAAAGUGGCCGUUUGGUUGGAUCAUCACAUCAGUUUGAACUCUGUGCUUGGCAGUAGAUGUGCAGAGGGCCACCUCCCUGGUGUUUCUGUUCUCGCUCACCUGCCUGUCGCUAGGGGGCUGUUCUCAUCCUAAUCCUUGUGUGGCUGCAUCUGUAUGUGUACAGGGGUCCCCACACUCUCCAUUUCCUCUUCAGGAGCCCCCAGAUAGUGCCAAGAUCUUGGUGCAAUAAAGCAAUGCAUUUGGG
rnacentral:lncRNA from 1 species